rnacentral:rRNA from 1 species
GACGAACGCUGGCGGCGUGCCUAAUACAUGCAAGUAGAACGCUGAAGAGAGGAGCUUGCUCUUCUUGGAUGAGUUGCGAACGGGUGAGUAACGCGUAGGUAACCUGCCUGGUAGCGGGGGAUAACUAUUGGAAACGAUAGCUAAUACCGCAUAAAAUUGAUUAUUGCAUGAUAAUUAAUUGAAAGAUGCAAUUGCAUCACUACCAGAUGGACCUGCGUUGUAUUAGCUAGUUGGUGAGGUAACGGCUCACCAAGGCGACGAUACAUAGCCGACCUGAGAGGGUGAUCGGCCACACUGGGACUGAGACACGGCCCAGACUCCUACGGGAGGCAGCAGUAGGGAAUCUUCGGCAAUGGGGGGAACCCUGACAGAGCAACGCCGCGUGAGUGAAGAAGGUUUUCGGAUCGUAAAGCUCUGUUGUAAGAGAAGAACGGGUGUGAGAGUGGAAAGUUCACACUGUGACG